rnacentral:rRNA from 1 species
AGUGAACGCUGGCGGUAGGCCUAACACAUGCAAGUCGAACGGCAGCACAGUAAGAGCUUGCUCUUACGGGUGGCGAGUGGCGGACGGGUGAGGAAUACAUCGGAAUCUACUUUUUCGUGGGGGAUAACGUAGGGAAACUUACGCUAAUACCGCAUACGACCUACGGGUGAAAGCAGGGGAUCUUCGGACCUUGCGCGAUUGAAUGAGUCGAUGUCGGAUUAGCUAGUUGGCGGGGUAAAGGCCCACCAAGGCGACGAUCCGUAGCUGGUCUGAGAGGAUGAUCAGCCACACUGGAACUGAGACACGGUCCAGACUCCUACGGGAGGCAGCAGUGGGGAAUAUUGGACAAUGGGCGCAAGCCUGAUCCAGCCAUACCGCGUGGGUGAAGAAGGCCUUCGGGUUGUAAAGCCCCUUUGUUGGGAAAGAAAAGCAGCAGGUUAAUACCCCGCUGUUCUGACGGUACCCAAAGAAUAAGCACCGGCUAACUUCGUG